UCCCAUAUGGUGUAGUGGUUAGCAUAACGCUCUCUCAUCUAAUGAGUGUUCAGCGUAGACCCUGGUUCGAUUCCUGGUAUGGGAG
rnacentral:tRNA from 1 species